UAUCAGAUCUGAAUCGAAAUCUAUUUUAUAAUAUUAUUCAAUUUUUCAGCCGAAAUUCACCCCCAAACCACCGGUUCAGAGGAGACGAACUCUAGUCACAGUACUGAUGAUGAUUCUGCAAUCGAGCAGGAAUUACUUCACACAGUUGUUGGAUGUUAAAGUGUGAUUUGCAGGGACGGAGGUAGUAGGUGUGGUGGCAGCCAUUGGGGCAGGGGUGUGUGAUUUCAAACCUGGGGAUGUUGUUUAUCAUCAUUUCGGGGGUGUGAUGUGAACCUAUACAGAGGAUCAGCUUGUUUUGUUAUCUUUUAGCUAAACUUUUUAUAUUUGACCCGUUUUGAGAUAAAAACUCCCAAAUUUACCCAUUCAUAAGUAAAUGUUCUCAAGGGGUACCAAAUUUUUUCUACACCUUUUUUUUCCUUCAUAUGUGUACUUGUUAAUCUUAUAGUUGUUUCUUGGCGUUCUACUAAGAAACGGAUUCACUCGGGGCUUCUGAUUCUGAGACAAUUGAUAGUGAUUCAAGUUCUAUCGCCAAUCCUUCAAGUCUUGCACCAAGCUCCCAAACAGCUUGAAGUAUUGAUCCGAAUCCGGCAUGCUCAUCUGCUGAAUUCUAAUUGGUGUGUGCGUGUCGAUCAUGGUUAUUUGGUUUACAAGUAGAUGGAAAACGGGAGUUCGGACAAGAGAUUAUUUUGCAAAAACGACACACCUUUGAUCCUGUGGUUGAACCGGAUACGUGGGAAGUAGUGUAAGCUCUAAACUUCCUUCUUAACGCGAAACCGAGAUCAAUCGUUCAUCGUGACCAAAAACCAGCAAACGUACUGCUUGAUAAAAAUCUCGUGAGCAAAAUCGGGGAUGUUGGUCUCUCAACAAUGCUUCAAUCAGACUUCUCUUCCACAUCCACCAUUUACAAAGACACGAGUCCAGUGAGUAUCAACAAACAGGAGUAGUAUCUCCAAAAUCCUGAGUAUUUCCCAAGCUUCAUGUGAGAAUUUUUGGAUUGGAUUGUUUUAUGUACAUUUGUUUGAUUUAUCUAUAUGUUAUUUGGACCUCUCAUGAACUUUGAGUACGUAAAUUUAUAAAGUGUAAAUAUAUAUAUAUUUUUUUGGAA